rnacentral:rRNA from 2 species
UGAUUGGGAAUUAUCUGUGUUACAAAUUUUUGAUCCCAGGCUGGUAAAAAAUGUAAACUUUUAGCC